UGAGGGAAUAUUGGGUCAAUGGACGAAAGUCUGAACCAGCCAUGCCGCGUGAAGGAAUAAGGCCCUAUGGGUCGUAAACUUCUUUUGUAUGUGAGCAAUAAGGUCCACGUGUGGACCGAUGAGAGUAGCAUACGAAUAAGCAUCGGCUAACUCCGUGCCAGCAGCCGCGGUAAUACGGAGGAUGCAAGCGUUAUCCGGAUUCAUUGGGUUUAAAGGGAGCGUAGGCCGGAGAUUAAGCGUGUUGUGAAAUGUAGACGCUCAACGUCUGCACUGCAGCGCGAACUGGUUUCCUUGAGUACGCACAAAGUGGGCGGAAUUCGUGGUGUAGCGGUGAAAUGCUUAGAUAUCCACGAAGAACUUCCGAUUGCGA
rnacentral:rRNA from 1 species